rnacentral:tRNA from 1 species
ACCCUAGAGGACUAGUGGUUAGGCCACAGCACUCCCACUGCUGUGGCCCGGGUUCGAUUCCCACCCAGGAAA